AUUCAAUUAAUAUAAAGGUUGGCAAAUACGUCGUAGUUAAGAGGUUAAAUAUUCAAAAGUCCAACAAAACAGUUUAAUGUUGAUAUGAAAACGAUCAAUAACCUGUUAAAAAUGCCAGAUAGAUUAAAUCUAAAUGGCGGAGGCAGAACCACAAACUUAUACAAACUUGAAGCACAACUUAAAGUGGAACAAUAAGAAUACGUACCUUAAGACAUUCACUUUUUUGUCGUACUACUUGUCAUCCAGUAUCAGAAAUGAUUGUUCCAGGAACAUGACAGAUGAUGUUAAUGAAGGUUUACUUUAGCUCACCUUUUAGAAAUGUAAAGAACCACUGGACCAGAGGUUGUUAUUCUCCCUGACCUGUGAUCCACGGAGGAUUGGGGGCUUUCCCCUCUCAGGAUUCGACCCGGCAACCUGCAGGCCUAAAGUGAAAGCUCAGCCAGAGUUGGGGUCUGGGCCUCUUAUCAUCUGGUUUCUAUUCUCCCCGCCCUGUCCAAUGAAAUCUGACCUGCUUUAAAGGAGAACUGAAUUAUGGGCCCAUCAAUAAAUACCAUAUUUCCCCCUUUGAAGUUGCAUACGUGAUGGAAAGUGGUAAGAUGUCAUGUGUUAAAGUUAUUACCUAAUUCCAGCACGUUAAUCUACUGUGCUUGAUGUUCCUGACUUUUGAAGACUGUUGUGGCUUUAUCUAUUCUGACAGCAGCCAGACUGAACGCUUUUUUCACUUUGCCCAAACGUCAGGACUAUUUUCAAUCUCCCCUCGACUUUAUAUGACCCCUGCAGAGGUAACCUUGCAGGAAGAGGGAGAGAGGUGGGUGCAUUACAGAGAAAGAUUGCCUUUGAAUGUUUCGUGACAAUGGUGGAUAAUUUUACCAGCUGGUGAAUAGUCUGCUCUUGAGUCAUUUGGAAGUGCCUAUAAAGCCGUCUAUGUGUAAUCUUCCUGCCUCCUACUCUUUAAUUGAGCCUCUCACGGAACAAGAUGCUUUUGUUAAGGAAGAGAUACGUAGCCUUAAGGACUCUCUGAUGAACCAGCAAAAAAGACAAGACACGGGGAGAAGGUCUACACUCACAACUAGCUCUUUAUAAGCUCUUUCUGAAUAAGUCGCCUUAAGCACCGGGCUUUUGUUGUAUAUUUAUAGCAGCUUAAACAAGGGAAAGAGGAAAAGAUUUGCCGAUUGUGGCUUUUAUUGAAAACCACUGUUUUAAAGCUACUGUAGAGAGCUUUUCGUGUUGAUUGUGACGCCCCCUCUGGAUGAAGCUGUACAUCCUAGCUUUUUUAUGCUCUUGGCCUACAGAUGAGUGCAUAUUCUAAUGGGGCAUUCACAGCAAGUGCGAGUAAAAUCAUCUACUCGCUUAAUUCGUGCGAAUCUAGGCGCGUGAAUGAAUAGUAUUUACUCACUUUAUGCGCGCGUCAAUGGUAAUUUUAACGGUAGUCCCUGCCGAUUCAACCAGCAGGAUCAAGUGAUAGACGAAGGUUUUUCACAAUUUACCAGAUAAUCCAAUAACCUCACUCGCUGCCCUCCAGACGAGCUUCUUUUUAUUCUGGUUUCGGUAAUUGAAAGAAAAGGCAUCAUAUAAUUCAGCACAACCACACACUGACGCGAUCAGUUUGUCCUCCAUUUUAGAUACCAAUGAACAACCGUUUGUUUUAAUAUGUCACCCGGCAACCUUCGUGUUGAUUCGUUAUCGCGGCUCGAAUAUCUGCUCAAGUUGAGGCCAGAGUAUUAAGAGCAUCUAAUUGUGUCUUUGCAUUGACUUAACAUGUAGUUCAUUCAGGCAAAUGAUUUUACUUACGCUUGGUGUGUGGAGACUGUUAGACUAUAAAAUAUUCUUGCAGUCUUUGAACUCCAGGCCUACUUACUUGCAGCUCAUAUGCUUUAUUUUGUUAUUUUCAUUUUUAAAAAUGUUCAAAAAAAAAUCAAAGCAACAGCACAUCCAACGAUAGAUUAACAGAAAUGAUUAAAAAACAACAACAACAAAAACAUACUAUCCACCAAGUCUUCAAUACAGUGACCUUUGGAUUUGACCAAGGCCCUGUAAAGGACUGUAACAAGUGUAUGACCUGGUUGUUACCUGCACAUGCUCAGUGUUGAUGAAGACCUCAAGUUUAGAAGGCGGCCUCUCUGACAGGUCACUGAGAUCUGAGGUUAUUUCUGCAGAAACAGCUGCCUGGGAUAAUGAGGAGCAGCACUCGUGCCAUCCUGGAUGUUCGGAGAAUCCCGCAACCAUUAAAAGGCUUGUCGUGAAAAGAGAAGAGAGACAAAGGAGGAUGAAAUUUCUGCAAAAUUAACAAGUCUAUUUCAUAUGACUGUAAUUAACAGGUAAAAAUUUUAGCAAGAGCCCUUCAAAGUAAUAAAGAAAUAUCCUUUUUCCUUAAGUACAGCUGGCUCUAUGUCUUAUAUGUCUGCAUAUUUGCAGUGGUGAUCAUGCAUGCACCUUAUAUAGUUAAGGCAUGCCACACUUCUUAAGUGUUGUCCUUACACCACAAAGCAUCUGUUGACAUAGUCAUUGUGUCAUUUCAGCGGCGCAUUGGAGUAGGUGUGAAGAUGUUGUCGCUGAUAUUCAUUACACGCCGGCGCACUGGCCCAUCAAAGCCCUCCAUUGUCAAUGGGAUCAAGCCAAAGCAGGUUAAAGCUUUCCACAGAGACACCUGCGGUUUGCUCUUCCUCUGCACAAUCUGAGCACAAACUUCUGCUGCACCACUUUCUCUUUGCACAAGCGCUGGGACAGCAGGCCAACCAAUAUUUUCUCAUAGAAUUAGAUUUGCACACAGUGGUUGGUGGGGAAAACAUUCAGAUCUGAUUAUCCAAACUUACAGACCUCAGAGCUUCCAAAAUGAAAAAAAAUCAGGCAACAUUGCAUCUUCAAAAUCAUACAUUAGCACAUGACCAAAAUAUCAGUUUUCACACAGAUAUUGAUGUGCUGUUUGAAAACUUACCCUUAUUGAAAACCACAUGAAAGAAACCAAGAGGAAGUGGAGUUGGUGAUCAGAGAGAUAGUGGUCAGUCAGAUUCAGAGGUCUUUUAACUCCAUGUGUUGAAAAGCCUCCAGGGUCUGCCCUGUCCAGAGCAGGUUGUGACCCUGCAGGACGGGGCAGCUGCUGCAGAAUGAUGUUUCUGUUGAGAGAAACUGCUGAGCCAUCAGAGAGCACGGGAAGCGGCCCGAGGACCUUUGACAGGCUCAGAUCAAUCAGCCAACACAACCAGAGCCUCAGGGGACAGCACAUCUGAGAUCAUCCCAUCAUCACCAGCAAAGGUCACAGAUUCAGUAUGUCUUCUAAAACUCAAUGAACCGUUUUUAAUCUCUCAGAGAGGAACUGGUUUGAGCAGUCACAUUUUAUCAUGGCUGAUUGACUGAGACUAUUCUUCUUCCGGGGUUUGAUUCCAGCCAAGGUGUCCUUGGGUAAGACACUUGAUCCCACCCGCCCCCCCGGUUGGUUAUACCGCACAACACUGCCCCCACAAUCUCCAGCAGCACUGCAAUGUUUAGUUUGCAAUAUGGCUGUUAAGAUGUCAGUUUUUCACCUCAUGGUCACUGUGGCCGUAAAAUAUCACAAUAGCAUGAUUGUAUUGAUAUCCCUGAAAAAACACAGUAAGUCAAUUUAGGGAAAACUACAUAAAGAAGUUUUUUAAAUAUGAUUAUGUUUGAGGGAUCCAAAAGAAACUCAUGUAAAUGCAGUCCAGUAAGAUAUCAGUAACUUCUGCCUUAGCUUCUGAGUUUGUUGACAGUGUAUCAAGCCUGUUGCUGAACUUAAUGUAUGUAUCAUGUUCAACAACAAGAGAGAAUUACAUGGAUCAAACCAGGAUUUUUUAGAACAAUAGUUCAUGUUCUUCAUCUUAAUAGAGAUAACCUAUGGGGCUCAGAGUACAUUUUCUCUUUUUUAAGGGGAGCAAUGUAAUCGGACUUAUGAGAUAAAGUAUUUUUGUUUUCUUAACCAAACUGGUUCUCUUGGGUGCUACACUGUGGAAAAACAGCCAAGAAACAACUGAAAUCAAAUCUGCACGGCCGAUCUUGACCUGUUGAUUUAUGGGUUUUACCUUGAACCUCAUAUUGUUAUUCUUUGUGGAGAAACACAAAAGAUUAUUUGACGAUACUUUGGGAUUUGAGAGAGGUCAAACUCUAGAAAGUCUGCAGCAGGUCAGGGUGAAAAAGCCAGGAGAUUUAGCAGGAGUUUUGUUUUGGACUCAAUGCAGGAACGUGACUCCCUCCCUCCAUUCCUUUCAGCCCAAUUAUCAAAACUGUUCCCUCCUCGGGGGCCUGAACAACAGGCAGCAGGCUUCAACUUGUGCAGGGGUCUUAUAACUCUGGUCCAACCAGAGGAAAAAAAGGCGUUUCUCUAAGACAUAGAGAAAAGACUCUCUACCUUGUGUCUUUCUUUUAGUGCACCCCAGUUCUGAUAAAGUUUUCACAUUAUAAUAUGAUGGCGGUUUUAAGCUUUUUGUAUGAUUGUAGAUAUAAAACAGCCCUCUUUUUACCAUUUUAUAAAAAAGUAAGAUCCGUUUCAUUUCUUGAUUGUGAAACUUGGACUUAAAACCGACAGAAAGACAGAGAAAGGAGGGUGAGAAAAAAAGAGAGAAAGUAGAUAUGUAGGUAUUCAUUUCCCUUCAACAUGCGCCUCCUCCCUCCAUCCAUCUCUAUCUGUCUCCUGUCCGCCCAGACUGUCUCCUUCUGUACUUCGCAGAGAAAGUAUCGAAUACCGUGGACAGAUUUGUCUGUCCUAAAAGACUGCUGACACCUGUCUAGAGCUCAUUUAAAACUUUUACUGGCCCAUUUCUCCAGGGCACACACAUGCAGAGAGGCUGGGGCGUCUAGAGAGUGCUUCCUACUUAACCCCAUGAUGAAAACAGGGCAGGCGUCUUCUAUGCACCAUUUGACUCCUACGCAUCUGAUUUUGAAGGAAGAGGAAAUCUUUUACAAACUUUGAUAGCUGCAUUUUACAUGGAUUAAGAUUUAUAGCUCCUCAUUAAUGUAGUUUUAAGGUGUUUAAAUGCACUGAUUUUUCUAAUGGAUCUAUAAUAUUGUGGAUUUGGCAAAAAUCAGAGGUAAUGAUGCAUAUUCACAUCUUUGAAGUUGCUCUGAUUGGUCUAAAGGGAGAUGAGUUGCUGCUUCAUUUGCCAGUUCAUGUCCCACACAUUCUCUCAUCAUGAGUCAGCCCAGACCAAAAUGACACGCUUACUUUUAUCUAUGUAUAUUCUCCAGUGUUGUGACUGGCAUGUUUCUAAGCAACAAAUUACUGUAACUCUACUAAUGUUUGCUGUAACUAUAAGUGUAGUUGGUUUUCAGAUUCAAAAGCAGCUUUAAAAUAACAGAAAUUAAAAUCACAGACAGCUAAAUAAGGUUAACCCUCUGACUUGUUGGGAAAAUUGUGCUUAAGUUUGCACAGCAGCAUCCAGGAGAAAGAAUAUUACAUGCAGUACAUAAGAAAUAAUGGCCAAUGAUCAUUUAAAUGUGAGAUGAUCCACAUUAUAUUUAAAAAUAAGACAAAAACGGAACAAAGAAAAGAAAAGGCAAGAGUAAUAGAAAGAAAAUGUUAAAAUAAAUAAAUAAACGAAGAUAUCACAUGAAAGCAAGUUUGUAAAAAUUAGUUUCAAGAAGUAAUUUAAAGGAUAUUCUGUAUGUCUUAUCUCCUGGAGGAUAUAAGGCUGCGUGAUGGCUCAUAGGGCGUUAAAAUUUCAGAUAAUAUGAACAUGUAAAUGAAGCCCACAACAGCUUUAAAAGUGAUUAGUGAAAAAUUAAAAUAUUUUCUUAAACUAGCAGAAAGGUAAGUGUAGGGACACUAAGAUAGGAUUUAUGUGAUGUCCUUAGAAGUCUAGCCGCUGUAUUUAAAAGUCAGAGGUGUGAGAGUGUUUUUUCUGGUUUACACUACUGAGGACAGAGCAACAGGAAUCCAAGUUCACCUUAGCUUGGCAGACUCAGCUAGACUUUAAAUAUAACUGAUAACUAUUCUUCUCUACGCUGAUCAAAUUUUGCAUCCAUCAUGCAGACUGCGCAAAGACGUCACUCUGCAAAUAAAACCGAUUUUUUUUUAUUCAUGCAUGACAGUAGUUGUACACACACUCACAGAGCAGUCACAGGGGAUGAAAUACAGAAACAAAUCUGUGAAUCAAACCAAUAAAUACCACAACAUGACUUGACAAGUGAGACAUGAGGGCAGGAGGCUGUUUUGCCAAAGGAUAUCGGAAACACACAUUCCAAAGUGUCUCAAUUAGGUUUUUGUCUUCAUAUCAAUUUACCGUCAUGUUAGCUUUCAGCACUUACACGCUGACACUCAUUAUUCUCUGGUUUUUCAUUAAACUGCUUUCCCCUUACACCACUAAAACAUUUGCUGAAAUGCGACAUGCUGAUUUUUCUGGUAAAUCAACACGAAGUUAUGUAAGUAAGCUGCUUUGCCGCUGCUGCUGCGUGACUCCAUGCAAGUGGUGCAUGCUCUGCAUUGGAGCAAAACUCCUCAAAUAUAAAUGAAGUAUUUAGUGUGAGUAUGUGGACCCCUGUGGCUUCCUAAUACCCUCCUUUCAAUCCUUUUUUUGUGAUCUAAUCAAAGUUCCCAACUCACCAGGGUUCGGAGGAGGGAUUGGAGUGGGGAGGGUGGAGGGUCCCUUGUGUUGGACAGCUUACUGCAAUUAAAAUUUAUUUAAGGCUUACAAGGAAUCCUUUCACUCCUGAAUAAAUCAGAGUGAAUUCCUCUGACUCUGACGAGGUUUUCCCUCCCUAUAAUUAUCCUCUACUCGACGAGCGCUGAGAGAGCAGCUCCCCUCUAACCCCCCCUGCAUUACCUCAAAGCCUUACACUUGUAAUUAAAUCAUAAAAUAACGACAACUGCAAAUUCAGAGUUUGCAAAACGAGUGCCAUAGGGCUGUGAUUUGAGGAAACAGGUGCAUACCAGAUGACUUCAUUGAUGUGAUUUUGUAAGCCUACAUCAUAUAUCAUGUUUUUAUUGCCUGAGCUUUCAGCCCUAAACUCUGAGACCUGAGGCUACAGCCCAGAGCGGUGCUGCCGACCUGAGGAGUGUCACUGUGUAAUGUGACACACUUCAGGAGAUUACAAGUUUCAACAGGUUAACAGAAACACACCGAUUCCUUGAGUGAAGCUACAGAGAGCAGCUUUUAUCCCACCUCGUCUCAGACUCUGGCUUUUGUUUUAAAAUUUCUAUAUUGUACUUGUGCUGGAAAAUGUAAAGAGCUGCAGAAAGUUUACAGAACAGCCCUUUAUGGAGGUUGUAACCUGAUCUGCUGUUUUAUAUUUGGGCUCUAAGUGAACAAAACUACAGCUAAACUUUCUGAUGUGUUUAUUUCAAGUUUUAGAUGUUAAACAAAGCAAAAUCUCCUCAUUGUUGUGCUUUUAUUUUGAAAUGUUAAAAAAAGUAUUGUAUUUCCCCAUCAAAUAUACUAUCCUUGUCCACUUUUGUGCAACACCAUGUCUCUUUACAAAGCUUCAAAUGCUGCAUCAAAGUCUUUCUCUGUUUGUGUACAGCAUCUCCUUACAUUUAAUCAGCUCUGUGGGCUUAUCUAAUACUCCUUGUCCUUUGAAAUGUUUUCACUAUUUCUCUCUGAUUGCUUUGCCCUCGUGACCGAGUGUUGAAUUAAAUGCCUAAUUUAACAUGGGCCCUUUGUUAGCCGCCUCUUUGUUGUGCAGCUCUUUCUGGUAGUGCAGCAGGGGCCAUGCUGUUGUUGACGUCCGGGGACCGCUCACUCCGCUCGCAUUGUGCCUCAGUGACAGCGUGUCCUUGGGCAAGGCAGCAGGGCUGUCAGGUCUCUCUGUCACACUUCUCUGCAGGCAGGACAAGGCCAGCCCACAGCACAGCCAGGGGUCCUACAGACCCUGGGCAGCACUACUAAUCUCCAAGGAUGCCUCCCUCGGUUGUUUAGCAACCAAGUUUGCCUGACAGCGUUGUUGGUUUGUGUUUGGCUGCUGUGUGGUAGAGCGCUGGAUUUGUGUGUGUGUGUGUGUUGGGGGGGUGUUACAGCCGAACUAACCAAACAACAUGAUGGGCACUUUUGUUGCCUCACCAAAGAGGAGGAGCAACCAGGGAGCUCACUGUGUGUCCUUUCAUGGCUCCAAGUCAUGAGAAGUGCAAGCGAACACACACACACACUCACACAAAAGCACAAUGUAGCAUACCGAACAAGUGUCACAAAAACUUACUUAUGUUUCCUCAGUUUUAUAAAAAUCUAACAGUUAUCUGUCAGAAUUUGAUUUUCAUAUAUUCUCAAUUUUUUUUGUUUGUUUGUUUUUACAGAUUUUGUAACUGAAUAAUCCAUUAAUGUGCUGUUUUCGGUUGAAUGUUUAGUCAAAUGUGGAAUACUGUCUUUGUAACCGAACAUCUGAAAUAAUAAAAAAAUGUCUUGCAAAGUCUCCACAGACACAAGCUAGAUUUGUUUUAUCUACAUUCAAACUCCAUAGUCUCGCAGAUGAGUGUGAAGAUCAUGUAAGAAACAACAAACGAGAACAGCUACUAAAAACACAGAGCUGAAAUUGCAGAGUUGAUUCACUUUCAUUGUCAAAUGUUUGGAUUUUUGUGCUGCUAUCAUGAGUGGGUACACUUUGUAUAUAGAGUUUUUUUUUCUUGUACUUAUGUGUGUUUAAAGUUUUACAAUUAUAUUCUUUUUUUGUUGUGCUGCCCCCUAAUUUCAAUUUAUCAAAAUGAUGUGAUUUAUACUUUCAGAGGUUUGUGCAUUGUGUUUCAUUUUGAAAUUUACCUCCAUAUGCUCUUCGUCUUUCCAAUGUUUGACUCUUUGUCGGGGUCGAUGUGUGCCAGAUUUGGGGUUUGUGAAAAUAUCCUUGGGGAAAGCUUCUGGGACGGAUCUGAGACAUGCUGUGGUAACUCUCUCUCUCUCUCUCUCUCUCUCUCUCUCUAUCUCUAUCUCUCUCUGUCUGUCUCUGUCUUUCUCUUUCUAAAAAGUGCUUUUGAGACUUUAGACAUUGUUUCUCCAGUUUGGACAUGACACUCUACUCAUAAGGAUGAGCCUUACUGUAUGCAUGGUGCAUCCAAACACUGAGUCAACUUAAGUACAAAUUAACAACUUUCAGAUGUGGUUUUAGUGUGAACUUUACCCUCUAACUUUAAAACAACCUUAGGCAUCGAGAAACUUUUUCAUUUCAGUGUUUUUGAUUGGUCUUAAAAUAAAAAGAUUGAUGUUUUCCUGCAGGUAAGAUCUUUGUAACAUCUACAUGCUGUUUUAAGAGGGAAAACUCUGUUCAGAAUUGUUGGAACUAUCGAAGCAGUUACUCAUAAUCUAAGAUCCGCUUUAUUGGUUCAAUUUUCUGUUUUGAAUCAUGCCACUCCCUCACACCAAAACGGCAUAAAGAUAACACAUCCAAAACACAUAAUUCUUUGGGCUUCCUCAUCCAAAGCUAAAGAAACAAACAAAACAAGAAGCAAAACAAAAUGUUUACUUUAAAUAUUUUCUCUAGAUGAGCUCAAGCAGCUGAUAUAUGUCCCUGUGCGAUUAUUGAAGUUUGAUAGAGACUUUUGAAAGUAGUAUCUUGGUUUUCUCUGGGUUCAGGUUUCUAAACACUCCAUUGGUUACAGUAUUUAAAAGCCACAGACUGUUGGCAAGGACUGACUGAGGCGGCUUCCUCCUUCUUUCAUCUCCCCUCUAAUCUUCUGUUUGCACAGCUCUCCGUCUUGUCAGCGGAGUUUGUUUAGGUUUUAUGCCCGUCAAUACAGCUGUAUUCCUCCGUCUCAACGUAUCACCCACAUCUGAAAAGAUCAUCAGUGAUAGAUUUGUAGGCAGAACAUUUCCUCAGCCGCAAUCCCGGGCUUUGUGUGGAAAACGAUUAAGGCUAACGGAGUCUUUCACCGUAAAUGGCGGCAAAGAAAACAUCUUUGUGCUGCUGAAAGUCAGCCACUUCACUUUCUUUUCAUCACCAAACAAUCAAGAUCAUGUAGGUGUAGACUGCUGUGUUUUCCCUCUUUUUAUGUUUUGCAAAUUUUACAUGCACCUUUUACAUGCAUGGUUUCCUGGUUUCUCAUUAGUAGAGUUUGAUUAACUGAUCAUGCUGCAUAUACACUCACCGGCCACUUUAUUAGGUACACCUGUCCAACUGCUCGUUAACACUUAAUUUCUAAUCAGCCAAUCACAUGGCGGCAACUUAGUGCAUUUAGGCAUGUAGACAUGGUCAAGACAAUCUCCUGCAGUUCAAACCGAGCAUCAGUAUGGGGAAGAAAGGUGAUUUGAGUGACUUUGAACGUGGCAUGGUUGUUGGUGCCAGAAGGGCUGGUCUGAGUAUUUCAGAAACUGCUGAUCUACUGGGAUUUUCACGCACAACCAUCUCUAGGGUUUACAGAGAAUGGUCCGAAAAAGAAAAUAUCCAGUGAGCGGCAGUUCUGUGGGCGGAAAUGCCUUGUUGAUGCCAGAGGUCAGAGGAGAAUGGCCAGACUGGUUCGAGCUGAUAGAAAGGCAACAGUGACUCAAAUAACCACCCGUUACAACCAAGGUAGGCAGAAGAGCAUCUCUGAACGUACAGUACGUCGAACUUUGAGGCAGAUGGGCUACAGCAGCAGAAGACCACACGGGGUGCCACUCCUUUCAGCUAAGAACAGGAAACUGAGGCUACAAUUUGCACAAGCUCAUCGAAAUUGGACAAUAGAAGAUUGGAAAAACGUUGCCUGGUCUGAUGAGUCUCGAUUUCUGCUGCGACAUUCGGAUGGUAGGGUCAGAAUUUGGCGUCAAC